GUAAUACCAACCCUCCAACCCCUCUACAAAGGAAGAGGGGUCUAGGAAUGCCUCCCCCUGACUCCGUCCUUGAAAGAGCCUUGGAGAGUGGAGCCUCAGAAUCCUGCAGUCUGCUGCCUGUUUUAAUCAGUGUUUCUGAGGGCAAGGAAGCCACAGACGUCCUCUACCCUCAAGCCAGGCAGUCACCACAAUUGGAGUGGCAAGACUGAGAACCAACACCAGAGUGGACGAAGAACAUCUGAGAAUCCUUGUGGGGACCAGUAAUGCAAAGAUCUGUUGUCUCCUACUUGACAACCUCUGCCAUAGUACCUGGCACAUAGAAGCUGCUCAAGAAAUGGUUGAUUUGAGUAACAGUUGAAAAAGCUUAUUUCACUCAACCUAGAUGACAAGUAUAUGGAUACGUGUAUAUAUCAUUAAAUGAGCUAAUGCCAUAAAA